rnacentral:misc_RNA from 1 species
UCUAGAGGGUCCAAGCGUUAUUCGGCAUUACUGGGCCGAAAGCGCGCGUAGGUGGUUUGUUAAGUUGGAUGUGAAAGCCCCGGGCUCAACCUGGGAACUGCAUCCAAAACUGGCAAGCUAGAGAACGGUAGAGGGUGGUGGAAUUUCCUGUGUAGCGGUGAAAUGCGUAGAUAUAGGAAGGAACACCAGUGGCGAAGGCGACCACCUGGACUGAUACUGACACUGAGGUGCGAAAGCGUGGGGAGCAAACAGG